rnacentral:ncRNA from 1 species
GGCGACUAGGGCAAAGCCUGCAAGCUCGUGGAUCCCCUCUGUCUACCGCUCCGAUCGCCAAUGUCGAGGAGGAAAUCCUAGUGACUCAGCUUUGGCUAGUAGAUAGGCUAGAGUAUUAGUCCUCCCAGAGGUAGGCCCUCAGACUGAUGGCAGUGCUUCUUCUUUAGGUCAGUUUUCCAGGCUUCGAUCCUUCUCAAAUUCGUUCAUCGGGGUGGAUUAGACGGAUCUCUGACGUAGAUUCUUAUCGGCUCCCCGCCCAAGGAGGGGCUUGUGUCUAAUUAGCUAGUUGGUGAGGCGAUAGCUUACCAAGGCCCAGACUGUGAGUGAGACACGACCCUGACUCGUAUGGGAGGCGGCAAUGGAACAUUUUCCACAAUGAGCGAAAGCCCGACGGAGCAAUGCCGCGUGGAGGUGAAAGGUCUACGGGUCGUCAACUUCUUUUCUAGGAGUUGAAACCCUAACAAUAUCUAGGGAAUAAGCCCAAAGCGGCU